CCUACGGGUGGCAGCAGUGGGGAAUAUUGCACAAUGGGGGAAACCCUGAUGCAGCGACGCCGCGUGAGUGAAGAAGUAAUUCGUUACGUAAAGCUCUAUCAGCAGGGAAGAAAUACUGACCUUACGGUCAGCAGACGGUACCUGAGGAAGAAGCACCGGCUAACUACGUCCCAGCAGCCGCGGUAAUACGGGGGGGGCAAGCGUUAUCCGGAUUUACUGGGUGUAAAGGGAGCGUAGACGGUGCGACAAGUCUGGAGUGAAAUGCCGGGGCUUAACUGCGGAACUGCUUUGGAAACUGGCGAACUAGAGUGCGGGAGGGGUAAGCGGAAUUCCUAGUGUAGCGGUGAAAGGCGUAGAUAUUAGGAGGAACACCGGUGGCGAAGGCGGCUUACUGGACCGUAACUGACGUUGAGGCUCGAAAGCGUGGGGAGCAAACAGGAUUAGAUACCCCAGUAGUC
rnacentral:rRNA from 1 species